rnacentral:rRNA from 1 species
UACAGAGGUCUCAAGCGUUGUUCGGAUUCAUUGGGCGUAAAGGGUGCGUAGGUGGCGCGAUAAGUCGGGUGUGAAAUCUCGGAGCUUAACUCCGAAAUUGCAUUCGAUACUGCCGUGCUCGAGGACUGGAGUGGAGACUGGAAUUCAUGGUGUAGCAGUGAAAUGCGUAGAGAUCAUGAGGAAGACCAGUGGCGAAGGCGGGUCUCUGGACAGUUCCUGACACUGAGGCACGAAGGCCAGGGGAGCGAACGGG